rnacentral:lncRNA from 1 species
CUAUUGGCCGAGACCAAUGAGGACACUGAUGUCGUAAAUUCAACACCAUGGUCUCAGCCAAAGCGGUUUAUUCGAAAGCCUCCAAGAUUUUUGUCGCCAGUGGUUGUUGGCCCAAGUAUCAUGCCAUCUGACGUGUCGCUGAGCGUUCAGCUCAGGGACUUCUUAUUGACCAAUGGUGGUCGUAUGGACAGCGUGAAAUUGCUAGAGAUUGACAGCUCCGUUGCGUAUGGAUACGAUGUACUCAAAUCGUUCUCCAACGGGAAUCUGACAGAGGGGCUAUUCAUAGACGCGUUCAGCUCGAUUCUGUUCAAGGAAGACAUGAGGAACAGGCCAGAUACUUUUGGAAAAAGGAUUUUCUUACCGACUUCUGUCUCGUAUCUCCUGAACAACGACUUUAUCAAACAAAAUGGUGAGACACAUGAUUUCUCCGCCGAUGCUUUGGCCGGAAACUUGCGUGACUAUAUCCAGAACGUUCCGAUGACGAAGACUCAGAUGGUAACCCCCCUCUUCUUCAUUAAUAAUGUUACCUGUGCUCCACCACGACCACUGGAUCUGUACGCCAUCAACAUUGCACACAGGCGGGUGGACAUUAUGGAUUCGAACAACUACCUUUUGAUUGGAACACUGGAGAGCGACCACCACCGUGCGUUGUCCAAACGCAUCGUCAAGGGUCUGAGCGAUGCGCUGCAGGAGGUAGCGCCUAAGAGUUUCUGCAGGUUCGGCGGCUUCAGGAGGAACAUGAUGAAGUGCCCAAAAAUGCAAAUAUGCUCCAACGACUGUGCAUUUUACAUCAUGCGGUCCAUGGAGGCUUACGACGGCAACCGGGAGUCUAUCGAGACUCUUUCCAUCCCGACCGACUCGUCGCUUGUCCGGUCAAGCAUCCUCCACCAGCUGAUGUUCAGCGAGUACAACCAAGACGCGCCUCUUCAUCCUAACAUCGAGAUGUUCCGCCGAUCCGAUGUUGUCGAUCCUGUCGCCUAA